UUUGACUUAUUACUUGCUGAUCACAGAUAGCUGCUACAACUCUAAGCAUGAUGUCAUCACACAACCACUUCCAAAGGUGGGAAGCAGAGUGACAUGCGUGAGGACUUUGUAAGAGUGUCUCUUCUUUUAUCAGGAAAAGCAGAAGAGGAAAGAAGUAAAGUGAAACUUAAAGACUGGCCUGAAGAAGAGUGAAGAGAACAAACCUGGGGUAAAAACAGCAUGCUUGUUACUAGCUAACAGAGGCAACUGCAGCUGGGAGCAAUGCCACCAUCGCUUCUGUUUUAGGAAAUAAAUCCUUUGCUUGGCACUUGCCCACUCACCUUUGGUGGGUCUUCUCAGACUAUAAUUAAUAAAGUUGUUAGAGAAAACUUGGAUGAACACCAAACACCCCACCAGACAGCUCCCCUAAGUUGGAUGCUCUGCCAUUUAUAAUUACCUUUUUCUUAUGGUCCUUAAGCAAAUUUUCAGUGUUCAUUCCAGAGCCAAUUUAAAUUAAUUUGGAGGGAACUACUUUAAGAAACACACCAACUGUUCCAUAGUCCCUUCUUAGAUCUUUGAUUCUGUAAAAUAUUUAUACUUUAUAACUCAUGCCAAGUCUAUAUUAAUGAAAUUGAACAUUUAAGCACAAGGAGAGAAAAAUCUGAAAGUUCUCUAAGAGAUCAUGG